rnacentral:rRNA from 1 species
GAUGAACGCUAGCUACAGGCUUAACACAUGCAAGUCGAGGGGAAACGAUAUUGGAAGCUUGCUUCCGAUAGGCGUCGACCGGCGCACGGGUGAGUAACGCGUAUCCAACCUGCCCAUCACUUGGGGAUAACCUUGCGAAAGUACGACUAAUACCCAAUGACGUCUCUAGAAGACAUCCGAAAGAGAAUAAAGAUUUAUCGGUGAUGGAUGGGGAUGCGUCUGAUUAGCUUGUUGGCGGGGUAACGGCCCACCAAGGCGACGAUCAGGAGGGGUUCUGAGAGGAAGGUCCCCCACAUUGGAACUGAGACACGGUCCAAACUCCUACGGGAGGCAGCAGUGAGGAAUAUUGGUCAAUGGACGAGAGUCUGAACCAGCCAAGUAGCGUGCAGGAUGACGGCCCUAUGGGUUGUAAACUGCUUUUAUAAGGGAAUAAAGUGAGUCUCGUGAGGCUUUUUGCAUGUACCUUAUGAAUAAGGACCGGCUAGUUCCGUGCCAGCAGCCGCCGUAA